AUGAAGCGAGAGACGGGAGCUCACCCACGACGUACACUGGCAGCUGGAGGCAGCAUCACGGUGCUCACCUUUCUCCCACCUGGCCACCACGCCGGAAGAGCACAGGGGACGGGCGGAGGGCAACCGGAAGCACCGGGAAGGCACGGCGACCUGGAGAUCCAGCGCCGGGACUCGGUGAUCCAGAGCCAAAUGGGCAUCGCAGACAGGCAGAGUGACACAGUGACAUCACUGACAAAUGUUAAAAUAUAUCCAUCGUGGUGGGCAUGGCGGCGUUUACUUGUAAUCCCAGCGGUUUUAUGGAUGAAGGAGGAGAUCCACAUGCGUUCGAAGCCAGCCUGGGCUACAUUCAGUAGUGACACAUUGUCUCAAACACCAGAAAAUAAAUAAAUAACGUGUAUCUAAAUUCCCUUUGUUCUAUACAGCCAAGUUUCUACGCAUUUUUGGCAUACAAUAUAACUAAGCCUUAAAACAACAAAACUCAGGGAUGUAACAGAAGGCAAAGACGUUUCUAAUCCCCAGACCAGGUUUCCAAAGAUCAACAGAGGGAUAAAAAGACGUUUGGACGCACCCAACUAAAUUUUUUGUAGUGCACUUUGGAUCAGUACAGCUUUUAAAUUUCAAACUUGAGAAUACUCUGGGAAUUUCUAUUAGAAGAAAAAAACCUGAAACUGAUCUCUCCCAUUUUGCUGAACUGCAGCAACCACGUAUGAAUACAGACUCCGGGGCACAACUAAGCCACCUCUGUAAAGUCCUCGCCCUAAGAUUAUUUUUGGAAGUAGGGAUUUUCCAGAUUACUGAAAGUCACAGCGCUGUCACAGGCAGGGCCCGAAUUUCGCAACGGAGCUAUGCUGGGGAGCCCGGCUUCCUCCCGGAGAGGACGUUUGCACCGGAACCGACAUGGGCGUUCCCGUUUCCGAUCAACACUCUAGAGCAGCCCUCUCCCGACCGCUCACCGCCUGCUUUCGAGGACAAGUUCGUCCUCGCACACCAGAAUCCACAAGUGACGCCGCCAGGGCGGCGAGGGUCGGUCUGAGCUCCUUUUUGGGCCGCGCAACAGCGACCGUUUACUAGAGGGAAGCAGGCGACCAGAAGGGACGCAGUUUUGGGACAAAUUCCUAAAAUCGCGCAGGGGCAGUAUUCCGCCAAUACUAUCUUGGGGGUAAAGGAUUUUCGCGAACUUCCCCUAGUCUUGUAACUAAAUAUUUCACGAGCUAGGCGGCCUCGCCU
rnacentral:lncRNA from 1 species